GAUGAACGCUGGCGGCGUGCCUAAUACAUGCAAGUCGAGCGAACAGAUGAGGAGCUUGCUCCUUUGACGUUAGCCGCGGACGGGUGAGUAACACGUGGAUAACCUACCUAUCAUACUGGUAUCACUUCGGGACACCGGAGCUAAUACCGGAUAAUAUAUUGAACCGCAUUGUUCAAUAGUGAAAGACGGUUGUUCUGUCACUUAUCGAUGGAUCCGCGCCGCAUUAGGUAGUUGGUAAGGUAACGGCUUACCAAGGCAACGAUGCGUAGCCGACCUGAGAGGGUGAUCGGCCACACUGGAACGGAGACACGGACCAGACUCCUGCGGGAGGCAGCAGUAGGGAAUCUUCCGCAAUGGGCGAAAGUCCGACGGAGUAACGCCGCGUGAGUGAUGAAGGUCUUCGGAUCGUAAAACUCUGUUAUUAGGGAAGAACCACUGUGUAAGUAGAUAUGCACGUCUUGACGGUAACUGAUCAGAAAGCCACGGCUAACUACGUG
rnacentral:rRNA from 1 species